AUACUUACCUGGCAGGGGAGAUACCAUGAUCACGAAGGUGGUUUUCCCAGGUGUGCUGACCCCUGCGAUUUCCCCAAAUGCGGGAAACUCGACUGCAUAAUUUGUGGUAGUGGGGGAGCUGCGUUCGCGCGCUCCCCUG
ensembl:snRNA